rnacentral:lncRNA from 1 species
AUGCAUCUGUGCAUCCAUCCAUCCCUGCCUCUGUGCAUGCAUCUGUCCAUCCAUCCCCGCCUCUGUGCAUGCAUCUGUCCAUCCAUCCCCACCUCUGUGCAUGCAUCUGUCCGUACAUCCAUCCCUGCCUCUGUGCAUGCAUCUGUCCAUUCAUCCCUGCCUCUGUGCAUGCAUCUGUCCAUCCAUCCAUCCCCGCCUCUGUGCAUGCAUCUGUCCAUCCAUCCCUGCCUCUGUGCAUGCAUCUGUCCAUUCAUCCCUGCCUCUGUGCAUGCAUCUGUCCAUCCAUCCAUCCCUGCCUCUGUGCAUGCAUCUGUCCAUUCAUCCCUGCCUCUGUGCAUGCAUCUGUCCAUCCAUCCAUCCCUGCCUCUGUGCAUGCAUCUGUCCAUUCAUCCCUGCCUCUGUGUAUGCAUCUGUCCAUCCAUCCAUCCCCACCUCUGUGCAUGCAUCUGUCCAUCCAUCCCCGCCUCUGUGCAUGCAUCUGUCCGUCCAUCCAUCCCUGCCUCUGUGCAUGCAUCUGUCCGUCCAUUCAUCCCUGCCUCUGUGCAUGCAUCUGUCCAUUCAUCCAUCCCUGACUCUGUGCAUGCAUCUGUCCAUCCAUCCAUCCUUGCCUCUAUGCAUGCAUUUGUCCGUCCAUCCAUCCCUGCCUCUGUGCAUGCAUCCAUACCUGCCUCUGUGCAUGCAUCUGUCAGUCUAUCAAUCCCCGAUCCCUUCUUUGUAAUGGUGUUGAGCGCUCACAACUCCCUCAUCCUAAGACGCUCGUUGGAUCCAUUCCCUCCCCUCACCCCAUGCUGCUCUCUGCCCUCCCUUCCCGGUCAAGUUCUCCAGCCAGUGGUCUCAACUCAAUCUUCACUUCCCCCGCUCCUCUCACACCUAUCCCCACUGCAUUCUAAAUUCUUCCCCAACGCGCUGGGCCUACAGGCACUAAAAAGGUCACUUUGUCCCUGGAUGACCAAACACAGGCCAAUGUAA